rnacentral:misc_RNA from 1 species
GUAUAAAUUUCAAAAGGCAAUUGAAGCCUACUAAUGCAUUCUAGAUACAUACAAAUAGGGGUAUAUAAAAACAUAGACUGGAAGUGUAAGGAAAGCUGGCUCGCGCACAACAGUCCUCAAAACCGAGUUUCCUCGAAAGGUAUCCAGAUCUACAAAUGGUGCACAGGUGAUAAGAGAUUGGCGGUAGGCGUGCACAUGCCCCUAAAGGCCAGCUACAACCCAACCCAAGCUUAAUUCAAUAAUGAUCCUUCCGCAGGUUCACCUACGGAAA